AUUGAACGCUGGCGGCAGGCCUAACACAUGCAAGUCGAGCGGAUGAAGGGAGCUUGCUCCUGGCUUCAGCGGCGGACGGGCGAGUAAUGCCUAGGAAUCUGACUGGUCGUGAGGGCUAAGGUACGGACACGGGAGCUAAUCUCGCAUCCGUCCUGAUGGUGAACGGGGGGGAUCUUUGGACAUCACGGUAUCUGCUGAGACUAGGACGGGGUUGCGCGUCGGAUUAGCUAGUUGGUAAGGUAAAGGCCUACCAAGGCAACGAUGCGUAACUGACCUGAGAGGAUGAUCAGUCACACUGGAACUGAGACACGGUCCAGACUCCUACGGGAGGCAGCAGUGGGGAAUAUUGGACAAUGGGCGAAAGCCUGAUCCAGCCAUGCCGCGUGUGUGAAGAAGGUCUUCGGAUUGUAAAGCUCUUUAAGUUGGGAAGAAGAACAGUAAGUUAAUACCUGGCUGUUUUGACGGUACCAACAGAAUAAGCACCGGCUAACUUCGUG
rnacentral:rRNA from 1 species